rnacentral:rRNA from 1 species
GCAUCGAUGAAGAACGCAGCGAAAUGCGAUAAGUAAUAUGAAUUGCAGAUUUUCGUGAAUCAUCGAAUCUUUGAACGCACAUUGCGCCCUAUGGUAUUCCAUAGGGCAUGCCUGUUUGAGCGUCAUUUCUCUCUCAAAUCUUCGGAUUUGGUUUUGAGUGAUACUCUUAGUCAGACUAAGCGUUUGCUUGAAAUGUAUUGGCAUGAGUGGUACUAGAUAGUGCUGAACUGUUUCAAUGUAUUAGGUUUAUCCAACUCGUUGACCAGUAUAGUAUUUGUUUAUUACACAGGCUCGGCCUUACAACAACAAACAAAGUUUGACCUCAAAUCAGGUAGGACUACCCGCUGAACUUAAGCAUAUCAAUAAGCGGAGGA